rnacentral:tRNA from 1 species
CGGACUAGAGCUAGAGACAGUAUUUUACUUACACUAAAAAGAUUUCUGAAAUAUCAGAAUGGUCUGA